UACGUAGGGGGCUAGCGUUGUCCGGAAUCAUUGGGCGUAAAGAGCGUGUAGGCGGUCCGGUAAGUCCGCUGUGAAAGUCGGGGGCUCAACCCUCGAAUGCCGGUGGAUACUGUCGGGCUAGAGUGCGGAAGAGGCGAGUGGAAUUCCUGGUGUAGCGGUGAAUGCGCAGAUAUCAGGAGGAACACCUAUUGCGAAGGCAGCUCGCUGGGACGUUACUGACGCUGAGACGCGAAAGCGUGGGGAGCGAACAGG
rnacentral:rRNA from 1 species